UAUGAGUGUAGAGAGCGCACAAGACAUAGGGCAUAUAAGUCGCUUGGAGUGGUGAGAGACAGAAGGGGGAGGGAAAGUGUGGGGGAAAGAGACUGGGAGAGAGAAGCUGCUCUGUGUGGACUGUAGCUUGCAGCUGUAAUUGUGGAAGAGCGAGAAAGCGUGCUCAUGUGAGAGAGACUCAGAGACUACUAGAGAGAGAGAGAGAGAAAGCAAAAGAGGUUGAGAGAGAGUGAGAGAGAGACAGACAGAUAGCGAAGGCUGAAACACAGAGAGUGAAGUAAAUAAAGAAUGCAAGAAAGACAGUACAGUGACGCAGUGCUUCUCUGUCUACUGUAGGUGUACGAAUUCUGUGGAGGCAGCGUGAUACAAGGACUAUACAUUUCCUGUCUCCUAUCAGCCGGAUUUACUCCGAAAAGGGCAUCAAUGACCAUUGGACCAUAUACUUCUCCACAAUAUUGCAGGCACUAAAGGUGGACUUUUAACAAGUGCAGUGACAAUGCAGUGGUGCGGUCGGCCGUGAACUUCCAUGGCUUCAAUGAGAGGUGGCAGUCUGUCACGUCUGCUCUCGCUCCUCCCCUCCGGUGUUUGACGUCGCCGGUAUACUAACCGCCGGUCCUGGGAUCCAUCAUUACGAGCACCUGCACGUUGUCAUGAGGCAAACCUGGACUCCAUUACCUUACUUAUUACCACCCCUAUAUCUGGCCCUCCCUUAGGUUCCUUCCCCAGUCAGUAUUGAUCCUGUGUACAUGCAAAGACGCUACUGUUAUGUUGUCUCGUUUGUUGUUUUAUUAAACGUUUCACCUGCUUCUCAA